rnacentral:rRNA from 1 species
UAACACGUAGGUAAUCUACCUUCGGGUGGGGAAUAACAACCGGAAACGGUUGCUAAUACCGCAUAAUGCAGCGGCACCUAAUGGUGACAGUUGUUAAAGCGGGGGAUCGAAAGACCUCGCGUCUGAAGAGGAGCCUGCGGCGGAUUAGCUAGUUGGUAAGGUAAUGGCUUACCAAGGCGACGAUCCGUAACCGGCCUGAGAGGGCGGUCGGUCACACUGACACUGACAUACGGGUCAG